rnacentral:rRNA from 1 species
CAGCAGCCGCGGGAAUACGUAGGUGGCAAGCGUUGUCCGGAAUUAUUGGGCGUAAAGCGCGCGCAGGUGGUUUAAUAAGUCUGAUGUGAAAGCCCACGGCUCAACCGUGGAGGGUCAUUGGAAACUGUUAAACUUGAGUGCAGGAGAGAAAAGUGGAAUUCCUAGUGUAGCGGUGAAAUGCGUAGAGAUUAGGAGGAACACCAGUGGCGAAGGCGGCUUUUUGGCCUGUGACUGACACUGAGGCGCGAAAGCGUGGGGAGCAAACAGGAUUAGAUACCCCCGUAGUCCCUGUCUCUUAUAC